AUUGAACGCUGGCGGCAGGCCUAACACAUGCAAGUCGAGCGGUAGCACAGAGAGCUUGCUCUCGGGUGACGAGCGGCGGACGGGUGAGUAAUGUCUGGGAAACUGCCUGAUGGAGGGGGAUAACUACUGGAAACGGUAGCUAAUACCGCAUAACGUCGCAAGACCAAAGUGGGGGACCUUCGGGCCUCAUGCCAUCAGAUGUGCCCAGAUGGGAUUAGCUAGUAGGUGGGGUAACGGCUCACCUAGGCGACGAUCCCUAGCUGGUCUGAGAGGAUGACCAGCCACACUGGAACUGAGACACGGUCCAGACUCCUACGGGAGGCAGCAGUGGGGAAUAUUGCACAAUGGGCGCAAGCCUGAUGCAGCCAUGCCGCGUGUGUGAAGAAGGCCUUCGGGUUGUAAAGCACUUUCAGCGGGGAGGAAGGCGUUAAGGUUAAUAACCUUGGCGAUUGACGUUACCCGCAGAAGAAGCACCGGCUAACUCCGUGCCAGCAGCCGCGGUAAUACGGAGGGUGCAAGCGUUAAUCGGAAUUACUGGGCGUAAAGCGCACGCAGGCGGUCUGUCAAGUCGGAUGUGAAAUCCCCGGGCUCAACCUGGGAACUGCAUUCGAAACUGGCAGGCUAGAGUCUUGUAGAGGGGGGUAGAAUUCCAGGUGUAGCGGUGAAAUGCGUAGAGAUCUGGAGGAAUACCGGUGGCGAAGGCGGCCCCCUGGACAAAGACUGACGCUCAGGUGCGAAAGCGUGGGGAGCAAACAGGAUUAGAUACCCUGGUAGUCCACGCCGUAAACGAUGUCGAUUUGGAGGUUGUGCCCUUGAGGCGUGGCUUCCGGAGCUAACGCGUUAAAUCGACCGCCUGGGGAGUACGGCCGCAAGGUUAAAACUCAAAUGAAUUGACGGGGGCCCGCACAAGCGGUGGAGCAUGUGGUUUAAUUCGAUGCAACGCGAAGAACCUUACCUGGUCUUGACAUCCACAGAACUUUCCAGAGAUGGAUUGGUGCCUUCGGGAACUGUGAGACAGGUGCUGCAUGGCUGUCGUCAGCUCGUGUUGUGAAAUGUUGGGUUAAGUCCCGCAACGAGCGCAACCCUUAUCCUUUGUUGCCAGCGGUUAGGCCGGGAACUCAAAGGAGACUGCCAGUGAUAAACUGGAGGAAGGUGGGGAUGACGUCAAGUCAUCAUGGCCCUUACGACCAGGGCUACACACGUGCUACAAUGGCAUAUACAAAGAGAAGCGACCUCGCGAGAGCAAGCGGACCUCAUAAAGUAUGUCGUAGUCCGGAUUGGAGUCUGCAACUCGACUCCAUGAAGUCGGAAUCGCUAGUAAUCGUAGAUCAGAAUGCUACGGUGAAUACGUUCCCGGGCCUUGUACACACCGCCCGUCACACCAUGGGAGUGGGUUGCAAAAGAAGUAGGUAGCUUAACCUUCGGGAGGGCGCUUACCACUUUGUGAUUCAUGACUGG
rnacentral:rRNA from 1 species